GGCUGAUUUAAUAGCAAACGUAUUUCCUCUUGAAUUGCAAGGUGUAUAUGUAUUGGACUGUCUUUGUUAGAGCGGAUUUUCUGGGCCGGGAAUUAGAAACCUUCGGCUGUGCAUUAUCAUGUAACAAAAUCAUAGUCAUGAUGGGAGUCUAAAGCAACAUUGGGGCAGCUAGGGAUUCAUAGAUGAUUGAAGUGGAAGCAUGAAGAAAGCAAAAAUUUUAGACAUUAGGAUCACGUUUCUUCUUGUGUAAAUUUCCUUUUGUAAUGUACUUGUGAGGUUGUAAUGGAAGCUCGAAAUUGAAUGACCAUGGAGCCUUGUAAUCUUUUGAAAUUCGAUGAUAAAUUCCAUUCUAAAACAAACUCUUUUUCUUCUGAA